rnacentral:snRNA from 1 species
CUUACUCUUUUGCAUAUACU